rnacentral:rRNA from 1 species
UACAGAGGGUGCGAGCGUUGUCCGGAAUCACUGGGCGUAAAGGGCGCGUAGGUGGCGGCCCAAGUCCAUGGUGAAAGCUCGAUGCUCAACAUCGAGUCGGCCACGGAUACUGGGUUGCUCGAGCACUGUAGGGGCAGAUGGAAUUCCGGGUGUAGCGGUGGAAUGCGUAGAGAUCCGGAAGAACACCGGUGGCGAAGGCGGGUCUCUGGGCAAUUCCUGACGCUGAGGCGCGAAAGCGUGGGGAGCAAACGGG